GUGAUUGGUUUAAUCUGACAACCAAUCGUGAGAGAGGAGAGAACUGCAGAGGCGGGGCCACCAUUUCCAAGCUCAACCGUCAAAGUCCCGCGGCCGGGGAUGCAAGAGGCAAGAGGACCAGCGUUUCUAAGGCAACGAAGUUGGACAAAGCUCUGCACUGAUCCCAGGCUACCCUGCUCUCUCCAUUUAAGUUUUGCCUCAGAAAAGGAAACGUAACCAAGCCAAAUGAACAACUUAGAAACACUGAAGUCCCAAGGACUUCAUAGUGAUGAUGUCCUUGGGACAAUUGGGCCUUUUAAAAUCUAUUUGGGCAGUUUGGAGGCCCUUUUAGGCCCUUUCGAAAUUCCAGAUGAGGUAAU